CCCUUACAAAAAUGGGUUUGACCUUUCAGUCACCCGCGAGUCACCAACCAGUCACCCCAGUCACCUCCCUGUGGACUCGUCCUUCCUGUAUACCUAGUCUGCAGAUUUUCUGCAGACUCCGUGUAGACAGCCUGCGGACUUGUCUGUGUAAUGUGCGUGCACGCCCAGUGCGCGCGCGUGUGUGUAUACGUAUACGAAUAUAUAUAUUCUGAACCAUGAAAGGUUUUAUCAUUAAAAAAACGGUUAGUUUUGCCAUUCUUACAUUACGAAAACUUUGCCACUGAUUGCUAUAAGCACAGUCUGACAAUGGCAGUAACCUAAGGCAAUUAAUUAAUAUUAAUUGAAAUGAGGUAAUGGCUACAUAACCUGCAUUAAAUACAGCAGUGGAACUAUGGGUCGAUUCACAGCAUGGAUGUGCGCAUACAUAUAUACAGGGUGCCACACAACGCCAUGCGAUCACCGUAAACAUGGUCGCUUCUGUUGCCGGCCAACAGAUGGCGCCACCGGGAGCGCGGGAGUGCCGGCAAAAUAUACAGGUGCUACUAUUUUCCCGUCUUCAGCUGUCGGCAUGUCGGUACAUGUGCGUGCGCGCUGCAUUCACGCCGGCCGAUGUGUAGUUUAUUGGUGUGUACGCCGUGCCGACAGAAAGUGUGGUGCUUUUUCUGUGUAUUAAUGAUCCAAAACGCCUGGGACCGCGUAAUGUAGCGUGCAGUAUCUUUCGUGUGCUACGCCGAUGAUUAUCGUAGUUAGGCCCGUUCGCACUUUCUUUGUUCCUGGCUCGUAAAAAGCCUCAGGUACUCUCGCCGCGCUCGCACCGGAUCACAGCGCACGGAAGAACUUGUUGAAAGUGGUGCUAUCACGUGCUAUUAGUUCAUCUACAAUUGUACAGUGCUUACGCUGGAUGGGCCGUGCACCGACGGUUCUUGCCGCGGUACCUGUACGAUGCCGCGGAACCUGUGACACGAAGGAGUGGUUGCCGAGUACGCCUAACAGGAAAGUCACGAUUUUGGUGAGCCAGAGGCAUCUCUACACCCCAUACGAACCUCCGGCACUUCUGCAACCUGACAACACGGCAAAGUGUCUGAUCUGCAUGCUGCGACAAGAAUAUACAUGCAGCAAGUUCAAGUGCGCAGACCUCAAAUUGAAGAGGGCAUAGGCUCCAUGCUGCAGAAAAUGGGGUCCAAGAGCGACUCCUCUUCCAAGGAAUCAAGUGGCGAGUAGAUAUUCUGACUCACUACUUCAUCGUUCGUUGUGCUGGGGCAUGCACUGUGACACACAAAGGUAGUGGAGACAAAAACACAUGACAAGUGAAGCGCAAACUGUCAACUGAGUUUGGUGAACAAGAAGGAAGAACCUAUACCCGAAGCCACUAUCAUCAGCUGGCUGCGGGUUAUAUGUGCUAAAAAGGUGGAGAUAAGAUAAUCAGAAUGAAUCAGAACUUACAAGGCGACCCACUUGAAUCAUAUCGAGCCGAUAAUAUGUUGGAAAUUGAGUGACUAUAAGUCAGAGCCACAGACGGCUCGCUCACGCAGGCUUCAGCACCAGCCACAACUGUGCAAAAU